rnacentral:lncRNA from 1 species
UACUAUUAAUAUAUUAAGUUCAUUUAAAAUGCGAAAGCAUUUGAAAACUCUAACGUUUAAAGUCAGUGUCUUUGAAAAACCGUAAUUAUUUUAAAAAUUCAUUUUCACCUAACUAGCAGUAUAAAAUAUGUAAGCAAAGCCCAAUUAAAGUAAAAAAAAUAAAAUCAAAGGCCUUAUUACAAAAACAAAACCCAACAAAUUAAUAAAAUUUUAAAAAAAAAAGCAAAUGUAAACAUCAGCAGUAGUUGUAUGGCCACCUCUGAGUCCUUCGC